rnacentral:rRNA from 1 species
AUGUUUCUCCAUGUUUAUGAAGAAAAGAUUGGGUUCAGAGCACCUUUCCAUGUUAUUUAUCUGAUUUUUGUGAUUUCUGAUGUUCAGGUCAAGGCAAACUUGAAAUGUGGCCACCUUUGUAUGGCUAAUGGCUUUGUAGGCUUUCAGUAUUUGGCGUCUGUCGCCGGGUUUGUUCCGCCUCAACCAGGAUCUUCUCAGCACUGCUCUGAUGUUGUGAAAACUCACGCACGCCGGCAGCCGCCUCCAUGCUCCAGUUGUCGCAGCCUGCAGGGCCAGUUGCUCCUAUCUAGACGAGCUUUGUCAGGGUCAUGUGGUUGCUGCUGCUACCGCUUUGUCGGGGUCAAGGGUCAAUAA